GUGGGUAUAGCAAAGUGGUAGAGCACAUGCUUAGCAUACACAAGGUCCUGGGUUCAAUCCCCAGUACUUCCU
rnacentral:tRNA from 1 species